UUCUAUUUUAUUUUUAUUGUUAGAAAAAAAUAUAGAUAAUAUAAUAAUUUAUUUUUUAUAGUUUAAAUUAAAAAAAAAAUUAGUAAUUCUAAUUUGGUAUCAAAAUAAGAUAUUUUUGAAUUCAAAACUUAAUAAUUUUACUCAAAAGUGAAAAAAAAAAAUGCAUAUGAGAACUCCAAAAUAAAUCCAAAAAACGCUGAGUCUUUAUGUUAGAGGAGUGUUAGAGAAAGAAAAAAAUUUAAGUUAAUGGAAAGUGGUUUACUUUUUCUAAAAACUUUAGUUGAUGUAGGAUAGUUUAUCAUCUAUUUUUAUAUUUUUCUCUAAUGUUUAUUAAUUUUUUUUUUCUAUUUUCUUCUCUACCAAUAAAAAACAUCUUCAUUAGUUGCAUGUGGCUGUAUGGAGGUAGAGAAAGAAGAUCAAAAGCUAGGCGAUUUUGAAGCUACACACAUAUAAGGUGGGGCAAAUGUGAGUGUGAGGCUUGGCAAAUAUGUGGUAUCGCUUGUCAACAUGCUAUGGCAUGUAUAAGGUACAUGAGGACUGAUUCUGCUACAUAUGUUGACAACAGUUUGAACACAGCGGCCUAUUUGCAAACUUCUUCUGGUAUGAUUCAUAAUGUACCCGAUGAAACAACUUGGUCACAUGUUAAUGUAGAUGAUGUACAACCCCCAGAAAAUAGAAGAAAGCCUGAUAGGCCAAAAGUUGCAAGAAGAAGGGAAAAAUGAUGAACCAGCAAAACAAAAGAGGUCUUUCACAUUGAGGUGUGUUUGUGCAAAGCUUUCGGGACACAACAAAAGAUCAUGUCCGAAGACACCAAGAACCAAACAAGUAAUUUGAAUCGCUUACUUAUUUGAAAUUAAGCUUAUUAUUUUUAUUAUUUUUUUGGAUUUUCAUAAUAUAGCCAUUUACUAACAAAUGAAGCCAAGAACUUCUUCACAUCCAGGGGCUGAAACUUGGCUGCUAGCAGCAACAACAUUAACAACAGUUCUAGGUGUAAGGGUUUAAUACUACUAAUAUUUUGUCAUCAGAUUGUUAGCGUACCAGUUGAUUGAUGUGUAACUAUAGUUUUUAUUUUGUUGUAUCCAAGUAAGCAAUUUGUUUUGGAAAUAUGGAUCUAAAUUGUUUCUUGAAUUAAUACGAUCUAAAUUGUUUCUUGAAUUAAUACAAAGUUCUGCUUUUAGACUA